GUUCCACAAGUAAACUAAAACAGAGUAGCUUAAAAUCUAAGCAAAAGCAGCAAAAGUAGUUCUGGAGUGUGGCAUGGCCGUGCCAAGCUUCUGACUUUGGGGGAGAUAUAUUUUGUCUCCAAAUCUUCGUAUUUUCGUACCAAAUCAGUUCCAAAACUCCUUUCUUUUGCUCCAAGACUCAAUCCAUCAAAUAUUCGUUCCUGAAAUAUAACAAUAUGCAAUUGUAGUAAAAUAGUUCUAAAAAGGAAAUAAUAUUAAUAUAAAAUAAACUUAAAUCUAAUUAAAACUAAACUAAAUAACAUAUUAAAAUAG
rnacentral:lncRNA from 1 species